CCUACGGGCGGCAGCAGUGAGGAAUAUUGGUCAAUGGACGAGAGUCUGAACCAGCCAAGUAGCGUGAAGGAUGACUGCCCUAUGGGUUGUAAACUUCUUUUAUAUGGGAAUAAAAUGUUCCACGUGUGGGAUUUUGUAUGUACCAUAUGAAUAAGGAUCGGCUAACUCCGUGCCAGCAGCCGCGGUAAUACGGAGGAUCCGAGCGUUAUCCGGAUUUAUUGGGUUUAAAGGGAGCGUAGGUGGAUUGUUAAGUCAGUUGUGAAAGUUUGCGGCUCAACCGUAAAAUUGCAGUUGAAACUGGCAGUCUUGAGUACAGUAGAGGUGGGCGGAAUUCGUGGUGUAGCGGUGAAAUGCUUAGAUAUCACGAAGAACUCCGAUUGCGAAGGCAGUUCACUGGUCUGCAACUGACACUGAGGCUCGAAAGUGUGGGUAUCAAACAGGAUUAGAUACCCUAGUAGUC
rnacentral:rRNA from 1 species